AGUUCCUACGGGGCGCAGCAGUAGGGAAUCUUCCACAAUGGACGAAAGUCUGAUGGAGCAACGCCGCGUGAGUGAAGAAGGGUUUCGGCUCGUAAAACUCUGUUGGGAGUGAAGAAAGAUAGAGGGAGUAACUGGCCUUUAUUUGACGGUAAUUACUUAGAAAGUCACGGCUAACUACGUGCCAGCAGCCGCGGGAAUACGGAGGUGGCAAGCGUUGUCCGGGUUUAUUGGGCGUAAAGCGAGUGCAGGCGG
rnacentral:rRNA from 1 species